GCUUUCCAUGCAAGUCGAACGGCAGCGCGGGGCAACCUGGCGGCGAGUGGCGAACGGGUGAGUAAUACAUCGGAACGUGCCCUGUGAUGGGGGAUAACUACGCGAAAGCGUAGCUAAUACCGCAUACGACCUAAGGGUGAAAGUGGGGGAUCGAAAGACCUCACGUCAUAGGAGCGGCCGAUGGCGGAUUAGCUAGUUGGUGAGGUAAAGGCUUACCAAGGCGACGAUCCGUAGCUGGUCUGAGAGGACGACCAGCCACACUGGGACUGAGACACGGCCCAGACUCCUACGGGAGGCAGCAGUGGGGAAUCUUGGACAAUGGGGGCAACCCUGAUCCAGCAAUGCCGCGUGUGGGAUGAAGGCCUUCGGGUUGUAAACCACUUUUGGCGGGGGCGAAAUAUCGAGUGAUAAUACCAUUCGGUGAUGACAGUACCCGCAGAAUAAGCACCGGCUAACUACGUGCCAGCAGCCGCGGUAAUACGUAGGGUGCAAGCGUUAAUCNGAAUUACUGGGCGUAAAGCGUGCGCAGGCGGUUAAGUAAGACAGAUGUGAAAUUNCCGGGCUCAACCUGGGAACUGCAUUUGUGACUGCUUGACUANAGUGCGGCAGAGGGGGAGUGGAAUUCCGCNUGUAGCCAGUGNNAUGNGUAGAUAUGCCGANGGAACACCGGAUUGCGAAGGCGACUCCCUNGGGGNCUGCACUGACGCUCAUGCACAAAAGCNGUNGGGAGCAAANAGGAUUANANACCCCUGGUAGUCCCGNCCCUAA
rnacentral:rRNA from 1 species